rnacentral:rRNA from 1 species
GAUGAACGCUAGCGAUAGGCUUAACACAUGCAAGUCGAGGGGCAGCAUGAUCUUAGCUUGCUAAGGUUGAUGGCGACCGGCGCACGGGUGCGUAACGCGUAUGCAACUUGCCUUACAGAGGGGGAUAACCCGUUGAAAGACGGACUAAAACCGCAUACACUUGUAUUAUUGCAUGAUAUUACAAGGAAAUAUUUAUAGCUGUAAGAUAGGCAUGCGUCCCAUUAGCUGGUUGGUGAGGUAACGGCUCACCAAGGCGACGAUGGGUAGGGGAACUGAGAGGUUUAUCCCCCACACUGGUACUGAGACACGGACCAGACUCCUACGGGAGGCAGCAGUGAGGAAUAUUGGUCAAUGGGCGAGAGCCUGAACCAGCCAAGUCGCGUGAAGGAAGACUGUCCUAAGGAUUGUAAACUUCUUUUAUACGGGAAUAACGGGCGAUACGAGUAUUGCAUUGAAUGUACCGUAAGAAUAAGCAUCGGCAAACUCCGUGCCAGCAGCCGCGGUAAUACGGAGGAUGCGAGCGUUAUCCGGAUUUAUUGGGUUUAAAGGGUGCGUAGGUUGUUCGGUAAGUCAGCGGUGAAACCUGAGCGCUCAACGUUCAGCCUGCCGUUGAAACUGCCGGGCUUGAGUUCAGUGGCGGCAGGCGGAAUUCGUGGUGUAGCGGUGAAAUGCAUAGAUAUCACGAGGAACUCCGAUUGCGAAGGCAGCUUGCCUUACUGCGACUGACACUGAAGCACGAAGGCGUGGGUAUCAAACAGGAUUAGAUACCCUGGUAGUCCACGCAGUAAACGAUGAUUACUAGGAGUUUGCGAUAUACCGUCAAGCUUCCACAGCGAAAGCGUUAAGUAAUCCACCUGGGGAGUACGCCGGCAACGGUGAAACUCAAAGGAAUUGACGGGGGCCCGCACAAGCGGAGGAACAUGUGGUUUAAUUCGAUGAUACGCGAGGAACCUUACCCGGGAUUGAAAUGUAGAUGACGGAUGGUGAAACCCGUCUUCCCUUCGGGGGCUUCUAUGUAGGUGCUGCAUGGGUUGUCGUCAGCUCGUGCCGUGAGGUGUCGGCUCAAGUGCCAUAACGAGCGCAACCCACAUC